GGUGAGGUGGGUGAGUGGCUGAAACCAACAGUUUGCUAAACUGUCGUACUGGGAAACCGGUACCGGGGGUUCGAAUCCCCCCCUCACCG
rnacentral:tRNA from 1 species